rnacentral:rRNA from 1 species
CAGGAUGAACGCUGGCGGCGUGCCUAACACAUGCAAGUCGAGCGAUCCUCUUCGGAGAAGAGCGGCGGACGGGUGAGUAACGCGUGGGUAACCUGCCCUGUACACACGGAUAACAUACCGAAAGGUAUGCUAAUACGGGAUAAUAUAUAAGAGUCGCAUGACUUUUAUAUCAAAGAUUUUUCGGUACAGGAUGGACCCGCGUCUGAUUAGCUUGUUGGCGGGGUAACGGCCCACCAAGGCGACGAUCAGUAGCCGACCUGAGAGGGUGAUCGGCCACAUUGGAACUGAGACACGGUCCAAACUCCUACGGGAGGCAGCAGUGGGGAAUAUUGCACAAUGGGCGCAAGCCUGAUGCAGCAACGCCGCGUGAGCGAUGAAGGCCUUCGGGUCGUAAAGCUCUGUCCCCAAGGAAGAUAAUGACGGUACUUGAGGAGGAAGCCCCGGCUAACUACGUGCCAGCAGCCGCGGUAAUACGUAGGGGGCUAGCGUUAUCCGGAUUUACUGGGCGUAAAGGGUGCGUAGGCGGUCUUUCAAGUCAGGAGUUAAAGGCUACGGCUCAACCGUAGUAAGCUCCUGAUACUGUCUGACUUGAGUGCAGGAGAGGAAAGCGGAAUUUCCAGUGUAGCGGUGAAAUGCGUAGAUAUUGGGAGGAACACCAGUAGCGAAGGCGGCUUUCUGGACUGUAACUGACGUUGAGGCACGAAAGCGUGGGGAGCAAACAGGAUUAGAUACCCUGGUAGUCCACGCUGUAAACGAUGAGUACUAGGUGUCGGAAGUUACCCCCUUCCGGGCCGCACCUAAC